UGGUAACACGAACCGGUGCUAAAGGGUCCCUGCUCCGACAGCACUUGUCAGUAGCCGUUGGGCUGACCCUUUAGCACCGGUUCGUGUUACGAA
rfam:Sorghum bicolor cultivar BTx623 chromosome 7, whole genome shotgun sequence.